CUAGACCCCAGUGUGAGGUGCCCUCCUAUUUAUCAGGAGUUUACUUAGCAGUCACUGAAGGUGAGCCGCAGAGUGGCCGGGCUGCAGUUACUCUGCCCUACAAACAAGCUCACACACCACUGGCCUUCAGGAACUUGCCAAGACGCCUGCCUGUACCCACCAUUCAGCCGCCAUCUUGGGAGGGAAGCCACGGUUAUGAUGACUCUCAGCGUCCCAGACCAGGACUCCUCCCAGCCCUCAUCUUGAUUCAGAAAAUACUGCAGUCCCAGGCAGGGGAAACUGCUCCAGCUGAAAACCAGGCACGGCUGGGGCAGUGAAAAAUAUUCAUGGAACAUCUGCUGAAGGAUUUCUGCCUACUUCCUUCCUCAGUGCACUAGUCAUAAAGUCAAAGCAGUCAGGUUGACACGGGCUGCAGAAAAAGCCUUACCAGUCCGAGAGCUGAGUCCAGCGUUGCAGAUCCGAGUGACGGUUUUUGCGCUACUAGCUGGGAUCUCCAGAAAACAAAGCCUUCUUGUUCAGGGCUGUGCAGGGCUGAGAUGUCUGCAGUGAUGAUCCCUCCAAAUUAUAGGAGCCUCCCCUGGGUCGUCUGGGGGACCACAAGACCUGAGUGCCCCUGGCUCUUCAGGGCCCGCAGCUGCAACGGUGUUUGCGAAGGCAUCGUCCCUGGUGAGGGAGACGUGGGCAGGAAAAGCCAGAGUUCAAAGUCCACAUCCACAGGGGUGCAGACGUGUCACAUGCAUCCACACCUUUACCUCAUCUUUUCUCUAACAGCUGACAGCAAGACCGGGCCAGCAGGACACAAGCCUUGUCUUAAGUGGAGAAGGCAGGGGUCUCAUAUGGCCGCCACGGCCAGAGCUGCUUUCAAGGCUUUCGAGGCUUGCUCCU